rnacentral:misc_RNA from 1 species
CUUAAUAAAAAAGUCAGUAAGUUGAUACGUUUUCCAUUUUAUUUACUCGUGUAAUAAAAUAAUGUAUAUAAACGGUUUGAACUAAUCGACGUCAGUAACCGUAGGUUGUAGAUUAACAUUCCAACGCUUAGUUAGUUUUUUACGCACAAAAACUACAUAUAAAUGUAUCUAGUCUGCCGUUAAGAUCUGGACGUUUAUUCGAAAAUAAAUUUUACGCGCAGUAGAAUAAGGUCGAUAUUGAUAUAGAGUGUAGAAUCGUCACAAAUAUUACGUUCAUACAAACGCAACAUAUACUUAGUGUAGCUAGUUGAAAUUAAUGUUUCGAGUAGAUUAAAGCAUGUACGCAACACAUGUUCUUGCCUUGAAUUAAAAUAAUUGUCGUUAGUUAAUUAGGUCUUCUAAUCGAAGUUAAAUAAUAUAAUUGCAGUCUUCCUCCCUUACUCUGUCGAAGAUUUUUAAAGGCCUAAAGAAAUUCUAAAGAAACGUAGAACCUUAUUACAAUAACCGAAUCAAAUCGAAAAGCAAUAAUAAUCUAAAUAGUUAUUAUUGCGUAAACUAAAUGUUAUCUUCGACGAAAAUAAUCAUAACUUGUCAUCUUUACAAUCUGCG